CAAAGGGCAAAGGACAGGGGCGAGAUGUGCUCGGAUUCUGCAUCUGGGAAGACUUCUCUGACUUCACAGCAACGCGGAGAAUGUGUCGGAACGGGGAAGAAAAUGGGGCUGAUGGCCCCAGGACUCCUGGAAGAUGAUAUGUGGCAAUAACUGUCACCCAGAGCCACCAAAGCACUUCACCUGCCCUGCCUUGUAGCCUGCCCUGCCUUGUAGUGCUUCUGCCGGGUGUCACUGCUAUUUGUAUGUUAAUUAGACUGGGGGUUCCCCGAGAGUGGCUUGUAUCUCCGUGACCCCUGUGUCUCCGCCGGGGCCCUGCACAGUGUCUGCUACACCGGAGCAGCAAAAUAAAUGGGGCUGGUUGAAGGAGUAAGCUAAGGCCAGCUAACUGCUCUCAAGCGCCUUUAAUUAUGGUCUUUGGUGCCCUCUUACCGCUUCAUCUUAUUUAUCACUCUUUUCCUGAGACCUUCUAAGAUAGAAUGCAGACACAAACGUGCGCAUGCACACACACGCACGCUGGCUUAAUAUAUGCACAGUGGAAGCUGAAUACAUCUCGCUGGGACACUUCCACACUUGUUAAGACAGUUCCCAAAACACAUUAAAAAAUGAUGGAUUGU
rnacentral:lncRNA from 1 species